rnacentral:lncRNA from 1 species
AAUGAGAAAGAAAUAUGGAGAAAAAUAGGAAACUCAACCACUGAUGGUGACAGCGGCGACAAUGGUGUUUGAACAAAAGUUGUAGUAAAAGAACUGGUGAAGGUUCGACAAAAAAAUGUGAAAUAUUGAAAUGAAAGAAAGAGGGAUGGAGGAGAAAAGAAAAUAGCAGUGGUGGUCAUAGUGGCAAUGGAAGUGACGAGGAAAAAGAAGAUGAGGUGCAGUGACCACGAGGCGUGGCGGUAAAUGGUGGAGGGCUCGAUAACAGUGGAGAAAGGUAGUAAAAGUGAAAAGAGGAAAGGGUGGUGGUGUUUCAAAAAAGACAAAAAAAUAGGUGAGAAUGGAAAGAGAAAAAAACACAAGAAUAAGGAGGAUAGGGAGGAAAGGUUGGUCAACUAGGU